AAGCACCAUGACAGAGUCCUCUGUAGGUGCCCUUCCUUCUCCUGGAUCGAUUGAUUGUCAAUGAUUUAGACUUCAAUGAAAAGUUCUUUCCCAUGAGGUUCCUUGGGUAGAUCGUUGUUCUUCUUAUUCAACAUAUUUCAUUGUGGACUUUUCUUAAAACAGGAAUUUGCCGGAACAUAGCAUAAGCUUGACAAGAAAAGAGAUGGAAGAUAACUAUUUCCAAAGGCUUGAGACAAAUGAAGCAAAAUAUAGAAGGCUAUACUAUCGGAUCAAUGAUUUACCAGAAGACCAGGUA